rnacentral:snRNA from 1 species
GGAAUGGGGACCAUCUGGCUAUGACAACUGUUACUUCAUUGAUCAUCAAGCUCAUCUGGCUGACUAUCCCUCACUGCUCCAUGUGUGUUCCUCCCAAAGCUGUAUGUUCAAAGAGGACCCUUUCCCCAAAUAGAGGAACUAUCAAAUUUUUGUCAAAGGUAUUUGCGUAGCUGCUCUCCUCUUCUAGAACUUCCAAAUAAGCCCUCAAGAAAUAGAUCAUCAGGAAUCUGUAAGAUCCAUGAAUUGGUGAAUCUUUUCAUGCAGUUCAUAUUAGUAAAAUAUAAUGAGUUAUCUU